UUCUCUUCCUGUGCAAUUUGAAAUCAUGAUCUCUCCCCUCAUCUUCAUAUCUGGAUUCUUUCUCUUCAGCAGAACGAAGAUUUUGAAAGAAAAAUGCUUUCGCACCCAUCAUCAUUCUCUCCCCCUGUCGCCAAAACGCUGCUCAUCAUAAUCCUCAUCACCUUUUCACUUCCCAUAAUCUAUCUUUCACGCACGAGGCUUCUUCUCAUCUUCAGUUAGAUCAUUUUCAUACACCCGAGUUCUUCUCCGCCACUUUGAGUUCUACCCCUCCCCCUCUCUGUCGAGUUUGCACUCACCCACCCGCACCGCCACGAGUUCCGGUUUCGAAGGUUCCUCGCCAAUAAACCCUCCCGCUCUUCCAAUGGAACCGCCGCGGCAGAAUUACCUGCAGGAAUGAUUUCUCAUAAAUGGAUUGGACCAUUUUUUAAAGAUUAAAAUAGCAAGGAUGUUCAUCUCCAAAUCCAAACUUACCUGUCCUGUUCAAGCUAGUAAUUGAACUACAGAUUUUACAAAUCAAUUCAUUUGUAAUAACUGGACAUGUGGCCGAUUCGAGCAAAAAGGGCAUGGAGAAGAAGUUGAUUGAAUAGGUAAGAAGAGUAAAGAAAUUGAGUGGAAAAGAUGAGGAUCACUUUCAUAGGCUAAAGGUCAUUGUACGUAAGUGGCUCCUCAAUACUAUUUUUGAAUAAAUUUGCUGGAUUUGUUUCAUCUUUGUUCGUUGAAUGAAGCAGUUAGAGGUAGCAUAAAGUAUACAUGUCCUGUUCAAGGUAUUAAUUGUAAUUAAGAUGUUUUUUUAAUUCUAAUUAGAUUCUGCUAUUUUUUUGCUCUCACCUUUCUUUUGAUUCUGUUCAUACUGAGAAUGCUACAUAUAACAAUGUGUUCAAGUCGUUGCAAAAAAAUAUCCAUCUGUAUCAAAGUUCUUAUAGAAGAAUAAAGUCUGUAAAAUAUUAUACUAUGUUUAUGACCAAUUGCAGGUUUGUGAGGGUGUAGAUUAUAAUUUAAUGAUUGUUGCUAAAUUUAUAGCGAGAACCAUUAACAAUUGGUGGUCUUUUAUAUAUGGGUACUUUUAUUGAUAUGUUAGUUUGAGUUGUGGGGAAUUUUAUCAGUAAUUUUGAUUUUGAAUAUUUCAUAGUUCCCACAUAACUUCUCUUUCAUUGUCUUUGAUCUAAAGGAAUGGGUUAAACAGUUAGACCUGUGUCUGAUGGAAUCAAGAACAGAGAAAGAGAAUUGGCUUAUUCAAUUGAACUGAAACUGAACCAAAAUCCACAAAGUGUGAACCAAUGGCUCUGAGAUUCAAGAAUUGGAAACUGCAACUGGAACUAUGAACCCUAACUCCUCUGGAACUUCGAGAGUCCAGGAUCUCCAACAAACUAACUGAAUCUCUAACUACUCAACAAACUACCAUGUUCCUCUAUUUAUAGGACAGGAUCCUAACUGCCAACUCUAACAGACUAGUUACUAGGCUAGUCCUUAUUACAUUGAUAUCAGAAUAUAACAGAAUUAGACUAUACAACUGUCUUCUUCUUAUUCCUUCUUUCAUAAACCUUCUUUAUUAGAGGGCGAUGUUCAUCAAUACCCCCCCCUAAAAGCUUCACCUUGCCCUCAAGGGGAAAAGUAGGAAAAGCCUCAUGAAUGCGAGCUGCAGACUCCCAGCUGUUCUCACAAGAAGGUAGGGUCUGCCACUGAACCAGAACUUCAAUUUCCCCCAGCUUGUCCUCCCUAAUGUCCAACACAUCCUCAGGAGAAACCAACAACUCAUGAUCCUCAGUCAAAGCCGCAGGCAAAGGCUGGGACUGAAAAUCAGUCCCCACAACCUUCUUGAGGAGAGAAACAUGGAAGACUGGAUGCACCUUACUCUGAGCAGGAAGAUCCAACUUAUAAGCUACUGCCCCAAUCCUUUCCAAAAUCUGGUAUGGGCCAUAAAAUCUGGGACUGAGCUUCUCAUUCAUCUUCUUAGCCAGGGAUCUUCUCCUGUAAGGUUGAAGUUUAAGAUAGACCCAAUCUCCAAUCUGGUACUCCACAUCCCUUCUAUGCUUAUUGGCAUAUUUUCUCAUCAUGUCUUGUGAUUUCAGCAGAUUGGCCCGAAGGUCAUCUAACAACUCAUCUCUGCUAAUGGUAAGAUCAUUAACCUCAGCAAUCUUAGAAGGAAUAGUUGUCCCUUUGAGCAAUAAGGGGGGCUCUUGACCAUAGAGAGCCUGAAAAGGUGACAUGCGAGUAGAUCUAUUGUAGUUACUGUUAUACCAAAAUUCUGCCCAAGGUAUACAGGUAACCCAUCUCUUAGGUCUGGAUCCAGUAAGACAUCUCAAAUAAACCUCAAUGCACCUGUUUACUACUUCUGUUUGCCCAUCCGUUUGUGGAUGGUAAGCAGUGCUGAACUUCAACUGAGUUCCAGAAGCUUUAAAAAGCUCUUUCCAGAAUUGACUAAGAAAGAGAGAGUCCCUAUCAGACACAAUAGUUGCUGGGAAUCCAUGCAAUCUUACUACCUCUUGCAGAAACAGAGUGGCGACCUCAGGACCAGUAUAAGGGUGACUAAGAGGAAUGAAAUGAGCAUAUUUGGUCAAACGAUCCACCACCACAAGAAUUGUGUCCUUGCCUUUGGAUUUGGGAAGGCCCCCGAUGAAAUCCAUUGACACAUCAGUCCAAACCUGAGUAGGAAUAGGCAGAGGCUGGAGUAAGCCAGCAGGGGACAGAUUGUCAAACUUAUUCCUUUGACAAAUGUCACACUUGGACACAAACUCCUUAACAUCUGAUUUCAUGCCUUCCCAAUACACCACACUUGCCAAUCUCUGAUAAGUUCUGAAAUAGCCUGAAUGUCCCCCCAUUAGAGAGGCAUGGAAUUCCUUACAUAGUAGAGGAAUCCUAGAGGAUUGUUUAGACAACACCAGCUUCCCUUUGUAAAACAAUUUGUGGUCCUUAAGGGUAUAUCCCUUGUGAGAAUCAGGAUUGACUAGCAAAUCCUGGGUAAUGGCUUGCAAUUUUGGGUCUUGAAGCAAUUCAGUUUGCCAUUCCUCAUAAUCAUUAACUCUGAGGACAGAAAGUGCACAAUAAGAACUUCUUCUAGACAAUGCAUCUGCUGCUGAAUUGUCUUUUCCAGGCUUGUACUGGAUCUCAAAAUCAUAUCCAGAAAGUUUAGAGACCCACCUAUAUUGUUCCUCCCCCAAGACCCUUUGCUCAGUCAAGAAUUUUAGGCUUUUCUGAUCUGUCCUGAUCACAAAUUGCCUUCCCAUCAAAUAAUGCCUCCAUCUCUGAACAGCUCUAACUACUGCCAUCAAUUCCCUCUCAUAGACAGAAUUGGCCUGACUUCUAUCUGACAAAGUAGCACUCCAGAAUGCAAGUGGUUUGCCCUCCUGAGUAAGCACAGCUCCCAGUCCAGUACCAGAUGCAUCUGUUUCCAAUACAAAAAGCUUGGAAAAAUCUGGAAUGGCUAAGGUAGGAAGGGCUGUAAGGGCCUGCUUAAGAGUUUCAAAAGCUUGUUGUGGUUCUAGUCCCCACCUGAAAUUAUCCUUCUUCAACAAUUGGGUCAAAGGCCUGGCUAUUUUGCCAUAAUCCUUAACAAACCUUCUGUAAUAUCCAGUCAGGCCUAAAAAUCCUCUCAAACUCUUUAGAUCCUUAGGGACUGGCCAUAGCCACAUGGCAUCCAGUUUUUUUGGAUCAGCUGCAACUGCUCCAGCAGUAAUAACAUGCCCCAAGUACUCAAUUUGUUGCUGGCCAAAGACACUCUUCUUCCCAUUAAUCUUGAGGUCAUGUUGCUCCAUCAAUUGGAGAACUUGUGAGAGAUGGAGAACAUGGUCUUCUAAACUGGAGCUGUAGAUCAAGAUAUCAUCAAAGAACACUAAAGCAUGUUUUCUUAGCACUGGCCUUAGAACCUCAUUCAUUAAGGACUGAAAUGUUGAUGGAGCAUUGGUGAGACCAAAAGGCAUCACCAAAAACUCAUAGUGUCCCUCAUGAGUGCGAAAUGCAGUCUUUUCCAUGUCUUCCUCUCUCAUCCUGAUCUGGUGAUAACCUGAUUUAAGAUCAAUCUUGGAAAAUAUCCUGGCAGGUCCUAUUUCAUCUAGCAGCUCAUCAAUGACAGGAAUUGGGAAUUUAUUGGGGAUAGUGACCUUAUUUAAAGCCCUAUAAUCAACACAAAAUCGCCAGCUACCAUCCUUUUUCCUUACUAAAAUCACUGGACUAGAAUAGGGACUAAUACUAGGUCUGAUUAUACCUGCAUUCAACAUCUCAGCUACCAAUUUUUCUAUCUCAUUUUUUUGGUAAUGAGGAUACCUGUAUGGUCUGAUAUUGGGAAUGGCAGCUCCCUCCUUCAAAUGAAUUGCAUGGUCAUGCCUUCUUUGAGGGGGAAGUCCUGUUGGAUUCUCAAACAAGGCAGGAAAACCAGCUAAAACCCUCUGCAAUAUCUCUGGAGUCUCAGCUAUGGGUGCUACCUCUUUUUCCAACAUUCUACACUUAACAACAAAACCUUCACCUUGCUGUUGAAUCUCCUUCACCAUAGUGUUCAUGGAAGCUUUCUUCUUGAUCAGCUCAGGUUCACCUUUGAUGAAAACUAAUGUAUCUCCCACUUUGAAUUUCAAGGUCAAUUUCUCAAAGUUGGCUUUAAUCUCCCCCAAACUAGCUAACCAUUCCAGUCCCAGUACAAUGUCCACACCUCCUAAUUCAAACAAGAAGAAAUCUUGCAUGAUCUGAUGUCCUUGAAUCUGCAGGCUAAUGUUUUUGCAAACCCCUUUGCAACUCACUUUAUGACCAUCUCCCACCUCUAUUGUAUAAGAUGGUGUUGCUGUAAUUUCCAAAGCCAGAGAUUUGGCUAAUUUUCUGGAAAUGAAAUUGUGAGUUGCCCCACAAUCUAUUAACACAAUGAUCUUUUCUUCCUGCAAUUGUCCCCACACUUUGAGUGAUCUUCUUGUAGUAAUUCCUUCAAUGCUGUUGAGGGAAAGUUGUUUGAGCUCUACAACUUCUUCCAGAUCCUCCAAUAGUUCAUCCUCAUUCCCAUUUUCCUCCUCUCCUCCAUCUUCUUCUAAAAGCAUUACCCUAAGCUGUUUGUUCUUGCAUACGUGAUUUGGCCCAAAUUUCUCCUCACACCUAAAACAUUCCCCUUUCCUCAAUUUUUCCUUCAUCUCUUCUCCAGUUAAUCUCCUGAAUCCUCCCACUCUUCCUGGCCUCAUUGUUGUCUUCUCUAUCACACUUCCACUGGAAGAUUGGGCAGACCCCUGAGAAGUUGUUCCCCCUGACUUUUGCCCUGUAUCCACAGCAACAGUCUUUUGAUAUGUUGGGAGCCUGUAUGAAGAUCUAAAAGAGAGAGCAUUCCUACUCCCAGUUCCCACUCCAGCUUUGCUGACAGCUAAAUUCUUUUGUUCCACCAUUAGAGCCUUCUUGACCAUAACAGUCAAAGUCUUGGGCACAUAGAGCUUGAUUUCUGCUGCUAUCUCCUCUUUCAACCCAUUCACAAAUAUAUCCAUGAAGUGAUCUUCCUCUAUACCUUUGAGCAUGCCUGCAAAUCUUUCAAAUUGCUCCACAAAUUCUUCCACACUUCCUUCCUGUUUCAAACUCAGUAAUGCUGCAAAAGGACUCGAAGCUGUUGUGAGUUGGAAACGUUCUAACAUGGCUUCUUUGAAGCUGUUCCAUGUAGUAGCUUGAUUACAUGUCUCCCACCAUUGGAACCAGCUCAAAGCUUUUCCAUCUAAAGCUACCAUAAUCGCUUGUAUUUUCUCUUCCUCAUUGGCUCCUUUCAAACGAAAAUACCUUUCCAGUUUCUGAAUCCAGCUAUACGCGUCUUCUUCUCCCUGGAACACUGGUAUAUCCAGUUUCCUCCAACGCUCCAUGUGAAGGUUGCCUUCACCGUGGCCUGGAUCACGCUGGUGCCCCACCGUCUCUCCCAACCUGCUAGCUCCCCCGCUUUCCUCAGCGUUGAUUUCUCCGCUCCUUCUCACGCCGCCGCUGCCGCUGGCGUCGCGCGCACCCUGGAUUCCCACGCCGUCGCCGCCAUUAGCGUCGCGUGCUCCCUCGCCUCGGCGCGCCACUGUCUCCAUGAAGCUUUCCAGAAUGCGAAACCUCUCGUCGGUUCGCUCCUUCUCAAUCGCUCGCUCCCUGCGUUCUUCCUCACGAAUCCGUCGAUCUUCCUCACGAUUCCUGCGUUCCACUUCACGAUCGCGACUCAACUCCUCGAUGAACCUCUCGAUUGCAUCUACUCGAGUCUCCAUUCUACUCACAACCAUAGACGAAUCGAUACCACAGCUCCUGGAUGGAGCUCUGAUACCAAAUUGAUGGAAUCAAGAACAGAGAAAGAGAAUUGGCUUAUUCAAUUGAACUGAAACUGAACCAAAAUCCACAAAUUGUGAACCAAUGGCUCUGAGAUACAAGAAUUGGAAACUGCAACUGGAACUAUGAACCCUAACUCCUCUGGAACUUCGAGAGUCCAGGAUCUCCAACAAACUAACUGAAUCUCUAACUACUCAACAAACUACCAUGUUCCUCUAUUUAUAGGACAGGAUCCUAACUGCCAACUCUAACAGACUAGUUACUAGGCUAGUCCUUAUUACAUUGAUAUCAGAAUAUAACAGAAUUAGACUAUACAACUGUCUUCUUCUUAUUCCUUCUUUCAUAAACCUUCUUUAUUAGAGGGCGAUGUUCAUCAGUGUCAUACUCCCUACGUUUUAUUUUUUUAAAUUCCCUUUCAGUUAUUGUGGCUCAAAUUAAAGGUUAUCUAUUGUCUUAUGUUAUUGUGCUAAAUGUCUUAGGUUUAUAUAGAUGUGAGACCUGCAACAGAUGAACAACUUCCAACUCCAAUACCAAGACUGAAAUAUUUUGUCUCUGAUCAACAAGGGGUUGUCUAUGUUUUCUAAUUAACUUUUCAUCUCCUCCUUUCAUAUCAAUUGAUUUAUUCUACUGCAUGCCUUUUGCAUAAUCCACUUGACUUUUUAACAGUCACUUUCAAAGUUACUUAUAUUCCUAACUGUAUUUCGAAUUCUUCUAUUCCCUGCUUUCUGCUACACACAUGAAUGCUUUAUGAUGGUAGCAUAUUGAUUGUGUAAUAUAAGCACAGGUUAAUGAGAUUGUAUAUUAUUACUAAUUUCUUUGUUUGUGUUCCUCAUAGUGAGAUUAUAAGGUAGUGAUAAAAGUGAAAACAAGGUAUAAACAUUUGAGAGGCAGUGAAAGCAAGGUAUUACUUAUUAUUAUAUAUGAAAGAAAAGUUGAGAGCAUGAAAUAUGCCAGAUGUAAGUUUGUUUAUGUUUGUGUUUGUGUCUUCAACGUUUUCUCCUAUGGUGACUUUUGGAUUGUAUAUAUGCUUGCGAAGCCUAAUUACUUUGUAUUUUUUAGGCUGCUACAUUAGCGCAUUAUCUCAGUUUCCUUGAAAAGUGUUUUGCACUAUCAAGAAGCUUCCCUCAAGCUUUUAUCAUUUGCUUCUUUUUCUUCUAUAAUCUGGAUUACUGAGGAUGAUGUUUUUUAUUCAACACUUCAACAAGUUAACUAAUUAACAUUGAGUUAUUCUUAAUCACUACAAUAGGUCCAUGACUGGUGGGGAGUGUCCUUAUAUUUUUUUAUCUUUUGGAGAGAUUUUUCUAGGUAAAAGGAUUGGGAGAUUUGUUUCCGUAUGAUUUAUUUGCAGGUAAAGGUAAUUGAGAGAAUGCAUAUGAAGAUCAAUACACAUGUUGAGCUUCUCUCAAGUUCUUUCCAUGAAUUAUCUUUGAUUCUGUUCAUCUCAUUGGGUUAAUUUUUCAUUUGUGGUCUACCAAAUCGUUUUUCACUUUUUGUUUGGUGGUCACACUUGAUGAUUUCUUUAUUUUUCAAACUUCAUGCCUUUGACAGGUUAAAAUUCAAAUUAAUUUAGUAUUAGCUUGCUGUUCUGACCACCGACAACUUCAUCAUGGAAAAUGUUGCUUUGUUUAGUGAGUCUUUUUCUCAUGAAGAAUGAUGUGCAAUUCAAGACCUGGAAACAUAUGGUAUAUUAUUGCUUAUGGUUGCUGGGAUGAGUGAUAAAGAAUCCUAUAUUUUGGGCAUACUAUACAUAUGUUUCUUCACUGUUUGUUAGAAACUGUUAAAGCUAUUUUUAUGUGUACUAUGUGAGAAUACUUCUUAGGAGACUUCUGGGACAUAUGUUCUCUUCUAUCAUGUAUACUGGGAAAAUGCUCACUGCUCUGAACCCUGUUCUGUUUACAGAAAUUCUAAAAACAGUAAUCUUUGUCAUGCUCUUCCCUGAUUUCUUCCAUAAAAUUUGAAGUUUUGAUCAUUUUUUCUGAUUGUGAAUUCUUGAGUCUUUGAAGGUGGACCAUGUCUCAUUCAAGAAGCUCAAAGCUUAAUAUAACAUAAUUAAAGAGAACAUAUCUAUAGAGUUUCCAACCAUCAUUGGUUGGGGAAAUUCUAUGUUCAAUCUGUCAAGGAGCAAUAUGUAUAGUUACGGUGCCAGGUUUGGUUACUGAGUUUCCAAAGGGAUGAACAGUGGGUUUGUUUUGUCCAAUGAUUAUGUUGUAGAAAGCUUGAAAAGAUUUGCACUGCUAAAGGCAUCCCUGCCAAGAAGAUAGUAUCAAGAACAAUUGAUUUUCAUCUGCUGAAAGGAUUCAACAGCAGGAAAUGUGUUGUGGCUGUCUUUCUUCAGAACAAAUCAUCAAGAACAAUUGAUUUAACAGAGUUAUUAAUUUAUAGUAUCUGUUGUACUCUUAUUAAUAUUUUUUCCUAACUAUGAUAACUUGAGACUUUGAGAGUGAAAUAUGUGAUAUGGGAAUUAUAAAA